UACAGAGGGUGCGAGCGCUAAUCGGAAUUACUGGGCGUAAAGCGUGCGUAGACGGUUAUUUAAGUCAGAUGUGAAAGCCCCGGGCUCAACCUGGGAAUUGCAUUUGAGACUGAAUAGCUAGGGUGCGGUAGAGGGAAGCGGAAUUUCCGGUGUAGCGGUGAAAUGCGUAGAUAUCGGAAGGAACAUCAGUGGCGAAAGCGGCUUCCUGGACCAGCACCGACGUUCAGGCACGAAAGCGUGGGGAGCAAACAGG
rnacentral:rRNA from 1 species